GUCGUAACAAGGUUUCCGUAGGUGAACCUGCGGAAGGAUCAUUACCACACCUUUAACCAAAUUCGAUUGAGUGUGUCUACUUGUAGGCACCUCAACUCGAACGUUCCGUGAACCAUACGUGUAAUUUCUGGGUUGAAACAAACCCCUUCCUUAACCUUUAAAUGACAGGAAACUUCUUCGGGAGUGAAUCGUCGACCUGAAACAAAAUGUCAUAGGAUGUGAUUAACCUCCAUCUGUAACUAAUGUCAAAACACUUUCAGCAAUGGAUGUCUUGGCUCCCAU
rnacentral:misc_RNA from 1 species